CGUAACUAUAACGGUCCUAAGGUAGCGAAAUUCCUUGUCGGGUAAGUUCCGACCCGCACGAACGGUGUAACAACUGGAACAGUGUCUCAACGAGGGACCCGGUGAAAUUGAAAUACGAGUGAAGAUGCUCGUUACCCGCAGCAGGACAAAAAGACCCCGUGGAGCUUUACUGCAUCUUGGCAUUGAGUUUGGGCAUUGUCUGUGUAGAAUAGGUGGGAGGCUGUGAAGCUGGAGCGUUAGCUUCGGUGGAGCCACCCGUGAAAUACCACCCUGAUGAUGUUUAGACCCUAACCCCAUUCCGUUAUCCGGAUGGGGGACCGUGCCAGGUGGGCAGUUUGACUGGGGCGGUCGCCUCCUAAAAAGUAACGGAGGCGCCCAAAGGUUCCCUCAGGCUGAAUGGAAACCAGCCAGAGAGUGUAAAGGCAUAAGGGAGCUUGACUGCAAGACCAACGCGUCGAGCAGAGACGAAAGUCGGGCUUAGUGAUCCCACGGUACCGUGUGGAAGGGCCGUGGCUCAUCGGACAAAAGCUACCCCGGGGAUAACAGGCUGGUGAGGCCCAAGAGUUCAUAUCGACGGCCUCGCUCGGCACCUCGAUGUCGGCUCAUCGCAUCCUGGGGCUGGAUAAGGUCCCAAGGGUCGGGCUGUUCGCCCGUUAAAGCGAUACGCGAGCUGGGUUCAGACCGUCGUGAGACAGGUCGGUCUCUAUCCGCUGUGGGCGCAAGGGAUUUGCGAGGAUCUGCCCCUAGUACGAGAGGACCGGGGUGGACAGACCUCUGGUGUGCCAGUUGUCGUGCCAACGGCAUCGCUGGGUAGCUAUGUCUGGCAAAGAUAACCGCUGAAAGCAUCUAAGUGGGAAACUUGCCUCAAGAUUAGAUCCCUCAUCCCAUUAAGGGAGUAAGGCCGCAGGAAGACCACCUGCUUUGAUAGGCAGCAUGUGUAAGCGCAGUAAUGCGUUCAGCUAAGCUGUACUAAUGGCCGAGGGCUUAAUCAC
rnacentral:rRNA from 1 species